GGACUACCCGGGUAUCUAAUCCUGUUUGAUCCCCACGCUUUCGUGCCUCAGCGUCAAUAUUUGCUUAGUAAGCUGCCUUCGCAAUUGGUGUUCUAUGUCAUAUCUAUGCAUUUCACCGCUACAUGACAUAUUCCGCCUACCUCAACAAAAUUCAAGAUCAAUAGUAUCAAUGGCAGUUUCCAAGUUAAGCUCGGAGAUUUCACCACUGACUUAAAGACCCGCCUACACACCCUUUAAACCCAGUAAAUCCGGAUAACGCUUGCACCCUCCGUAUUACCGCGGCUGCUGGCAC
rnacentral:rRNA from 1 species